CAAUAGAUAAUAAAUAAUUAUGUUUAAAAAAAUUCAUUAAAAGUUUAUUUUAUAUAUAAAUUAUAGUGUUAAAUUAUUAUUAUUUUAAUAAUAAUAAUGAUAUUAUUAUAGUAAAUAAAAUUAAAAAUUUAAGAAAUUAAGAUUUAGUAAUACAAAAAUUAAUAACAAAUUUUGUGCCAGCAGUUGCGGUUACACAAAAAUUAAAUUGAAUUGUUUCAGUUUAUAAAUAAUAAAUUAAAAUUAAAAUAAAUAUUAAAUUAUUAGGUAAAAUUUUAAUUUAAUUAAAUUUUAUAGUUAAAUUUAUGUUUUAAUAAAUUUAAGAUUAAACUAGGAUUAGAUACCCUAUUAUUAAAAAUUUAAAUUAUAAUACUAAAAUAGUAAAUAAUUGUUUAUUGAAACUUAAAUAAUAUGGCGGUAUUUUAGUUCAUUUAGAGGAAUCUGUUUAAUAAUUGAUAAUCCACGAUUAAAUUUACUUAAUUAAUAAUUUUAUAUAUCGUUGUUAAAAAAAUAUUUUUAAUUAAAAAUAAUAUUUAAAAAUUUAGAUAGAAAAUUAAUUCAGAUCAAGAUGUAGAUUAUAAUUAAGAAUAUAAUGGAUUACAAUAAAAUUAUUUAAAUGAAUAUAUUAUUGUAAAAUAAUAUUGAAGGUGGAUUUAAAUGUAAUUUUAUUUAAUAAAAUAAAAUGAUUUAAAAUUAAAAUAUGUACAUAUUGCCCGUCACUUUCAUUUAAAAAUUGGAAUAAGUCGUAACAAAGUAGAGGUACUGGAAAGUGUUUCUAGAAAGAA
rnacentral:ncRNA from 1 species